GUCUUUUUGAAUUUAAUUUAAAGUCUAAUCUGCCCACUGAAAUUUAAAGGGCCGCAGUAUUUUGACUGUGCAAAGGUAGCAUAAUAAUUAGUUUUUUAAUUGAAAGCUUGUAUGAAUGAUUGGACGAAAUAUUAACUGUCUCAAAUAAAAUUAUUAUUGAAUUUAAUUUUUUUGUAAAAAAGCAAAAAUAAAAUUAAAAGACGAGAAGACCCUAUAGAGCUUUAUAAUUUAUAGUUAUUUAAUUUAUUUAGAAUAUUAAAAAUUUUAUAAUUAAAAUUAUUUUAUUGGGGUGAUAUUAAAAUUUAAUAAACUUUUAUUAAUAUAAAUCAUUAAUUUAUGAAUAUAUGAUCCAAUUUUAUUGAUUAUAAGAUUAAGUUACCUUAGGGAUAACAGCGUAAUUUUUUUUGAGAGUUCUUAUCGAUAAAAAAGAUUGCGACCUCGAUGUUGGAUUAAGAUUAAAUUUAAAUGCAGCAGUUUAAAAUUUUAGGUCUGUUCGACCUUUAAAAUCUU
rnacentral:rRNA from 1 species